rnacentral:rRNA from 1 species
UACAGAGGUCCCAAGCGUUGUUCGGAUUCACUGGGCGUAAAGGGUGCGUAGGUGGUGAGGUAAGUCGGAUGUGAAAUCUCCGAGCUCAACUCGGAAAUGGCAUUGGAAACUACCUUGCUAGAGGGUUGGGGGGGAGGGCGAUAUACUUGGGUGUAGCAGUGAAAUGCGUAGAUAUCAAGUGGAACACCAGUGGCGAAGGCGAGUCCCUGGACAACUCCUGACACUGAGGCACGAAAGCUAGGGGAGCAAACAGG